rnacentral:tRNA from 2 species
CAAAUUAUACCUAUAGUGGUUAUAUUAUUUACAAUAAUAUAUUGUUUGUGCAAUUCAAUCUGAUUUGA